GGUCAAUCUGAUAUAUUGGUAGUAUCAAGCUAUUUGCUAUAUAGUGCCUAUCUUAGGUUCAGUGUUCGAUUCACUGAUUGGCCG
rnacentral:tRNA from 1 species